GAUGAAGAACGCAGCGAACUGCGAUAAGUAAUGUGAAUUGCAGAAUUCAGUGAAUCAUCGAGUCUUUGAACGCACAUUGCGCCCCCUGGCAUUCCGGGGGGCAUGCCUGUCCGAGCGUCAUUGCUGCCCUUCAAGCCCGGCUUGUGUGUUGGGUCGUCGUCCCCCCCGGGGGACGGGCCCGAAAGGCAGCGGCGGCACCGCGUCCGGUCCUCGAGCGUAUGGGACUUUGUCACCCGCUCGAUUAGGGCCGGCCGGGCGCCAGCCGGCGUCUCCAACCUUCUAUUUUACCAGGUUGACCUCGGAUCAGGUAGGGAUACCCGCUGAACUUAAGCAUAUCAAUAAGCGGAGGA
rnacentral:misc_RNA from 1 species